ACGCUAGCGAUAGGCUUAACACAUGCAAGUCGAGGGGCAGCAUGGUCUUAGCUUGCUAAGACUGAUGGCGACCGGCGCACGGGUGCGUAACGCGUAUGCAACUUGCCUCACAGAGGGGGAUAACCCGUCGAAAGACGGACUAAUACCGCGUACACUCCACUUUGGGCAUCCAAAGUAGAGGAAAUGAAAUUCGCUGUGAGAUAGGCAUGCGUCCCAUUAGCUAGUUGGUGAGGUAACGGCUCACCAAGGCGACGAUGGGUAGGGGAACUGAGAGGUUGAACCCCCACACUGGUACUGAGACACGGACCAGACUCCUACGGGAGGCAGCAGUGAGGAAUAUUGGUCAAUGGGCGAGAGCCUGAACCAGCCAAGUCGCGUGAAGGAUGACUGUCUUAUGGAUUGUAAACUUCUUUUAUACGGGAAUAACAAGAGUCACGUGUGGCUCCCUGCAUGUACCGUAUGAAUAAGCAUCGGCUAACUCCGUGCCAGCAGCCGCGGUAAUACGGAGGAUGCGAGCGUUAUCCGGAUUUAUUGGGUUUAAAGGGUGCGUAGGCGGCCUGUUAAGUCAGCGGUGAAAUCUAGGAGCUUAACUCCUAAAUUGCCAUUGAUACUGGCGGGCUUGAGUGUAGAUGAGGUAGGCGGAAUGCGUGGUGUAGCGGUGGAAUGCAUAGAUAUCACGCAGAACUCCGAUUGCGAAGGCAGCUUACUAAGGUACAACUGACGCUGAAGCACGAAAGCGUGGGUAUCAAACAGGAUUAGAUACCCUGGUAGUCCACGCAGUAAACGAUGAUAACUGGGCGUAUGCGAUAUACAGUAUGCUCCUAAGCGAAAGCGUUAAGUUAUCCACCUGGGGAGUACGCCGGCAACGGUGAAACUCAAAGGAAUUGACGGGGGCCCGCACAAGCGGAGGAACAUGUGGUUUAAUU
rnacentral:rRNA from 1 species